UACGUAGGGUGCGAGCGUUAAUCGGAAUUACUGGGCGUAAAGCGUGCGCAGGCGGUUCGUGAUGUCUGAUGUGAAAGCCCCGGGCUCAACCUGGGAAUGGCAUUGGAAACUAGCGGGCUGGAGUGUGGCAGAGGGGGGUGGAAUUCCACGUGUAGCAGUGAAAUGCGUAGAGAUGUGGAGGAACACCGGUGGCGAAGGCGACAUCCUGGACCGGUAUUGACGCUGAGGCGCGAAAGCCAGGGGAGCGAACGGG
rnacentral:rRNA from 1 species